UACGUAGGGUGCAAGCGUUGUCCGGAAUUAUUGGGCGUAAAGAGCUCGUAGGCGGUUUGUCGCGUCUGCUGUGAAAAUCCAGGGCUUAACCCUGGACCUGCAGUGGGUACGGGCAGACUAGAGUGCGGUAGGGGAGAUCGGAAUUCCCGGUGUAGGAGUGAAAUCCGUUGAUAUCGGGAGGAACACCAAUGGCGAAGGCAAUUUGCUAGGCUGAUUCAGACACUGAGAUGUGAAAGCGUGGGGAGCGAAUGGG
rnacentral:rRNA from 1 species